UGGGGGAUAUUGCACAAUGGGCGAAAGCCUGAUGCAGCGACGCCGCGUGGGGGAUGAAGGCCUUCGGGUUGUAAACUUCUUUUGCUCUGAACAAGGCGCACCAUGGGGUGUGUUGAGUGUAGGGGUUGAUUAGCGCCGGCUAACUACGUGCCAGCAGCCGCGGUAAUACGUAGGGCGCGAGCGUUGUCCGGAAUUAUUGGGCGUAAAGGGCUUGUAUGUGGCUGGUUGCGUCUGUCGUGAAAGCUCAUGGCUUAACUGUGGGUUUGCGGUGGGUACGGGCUGGAUUGAGUGCAGUAGGGGAGGCUGGAAUUCCUGGUGUGGCGGUGGAAUGCGCAGAUAUCAGGAGGAAUACCGGUGGCGAAGGCGGGUCUCUGGGCUGUUACUGACACUGAGGAGCGAAAGCAUGGGGAGCGAACAGG
rnacentral:rRNA from 1 species